AACGAACGCUGGCGGCAUGCCUAACACAUGCAAGUCGAACGAGACCUUCGGGUCUAGUGGCGCACGGGUGCGUAACGCGUGGGAACCUGCCCUUAGGUUCGGAAUAACUCCCCGAAAGGGGUGCUAAUACCGGAUCAUGUCUUCGGACCAAAGAUUUAUCGCCUUUGGAUGGGCACGCGUUGGAUUAGCUAGUUGGUAGGGUAAAAGCCUACCAAGGCGACGAUCCAUAGCUGGUCUGAGAGGAUGAUCAGCCACACUGGGACUGGGACACGGCCCAGACUCCUACGGGAAGCAGCAGUGGGGAAUAUUGGACAAUGGGCGAAAGCCUGAUCCAGCAAUGCCGCGUGAGUGAUGAAGGCCUUAGGGUUGUAAAGCUCUUUUAACCGGGAUGAUAAUGACAGUACCGGGAGAAUAAGCCCCGGCUAACUCCGUG
rnacentral:rRNA from 1 species